UAAUGAUGACAUGUAAUUGUAAAUAUUCCUUUAUUCAGGUAAUUACAUUCUUGGUCUCGAAAUCGAAGACAGUCAGAGGAUCAGAGGCGACAGUGUUCAGGCAUGUGCAAUUUAUGGGAUGGACAAUAGAUUCAAGCAACAGCGAAACUACUUGUCAAAUUUAUUUGAAUAUGGAUGCAACGUCUGGUUGGAAAAUGCAGGAACAAAUGCUGUUCUUUGACAGAACUUUGCACGCUAUGGCCAUUUUGUCGCAUUUCCGAGCGAAAAAAUGGAGAUCUCU
rnacentral:misc_RNA from 1 species